ensembl:lncRNA
CUAUGCUCAAGACAAAGUGUAGUAUUGCCUUAUCAGUGUCUCUUGAAACAAGUUCUGCCCAGGACAGUAUUUUUAAAACCCAGAAUUGAUUUCCCCCACACAGUCCUGUUAUACCGGUUCUUUUUUCCUUACAUUUGCUGGCUCAUUCCUCAGCACCAGUGUUGUGGCCAUGUUUGGUAUUUACAUCUCUUUCCUGUUUGUUUUGUAGGUCACUACAGCAUCAACAAUUCCCUCAUCAAAUUGUCUCCCUAGGGUAUAACAUCUUGUUUCAAGUCAAAGACCUCCAACUGACAAGGGCAGGCAGAUAUGCUACUCACAACCUACCGGUCACAUAAACCUACCAAGGAAGCAGAGAACUCAUUUCAUAUAAGUCCAACUCUGGAAAACAAGCCACUUUCAUAUGUCAUGGGAAACUAUGUCAGACAACAGAGCGAUCCUACAGUGUCCCACUAUAUCACCUGGUCCAAUUUGACCAGUUAUUGCCACAGGUUUGCAGAAACUGGCUCAGAGAUGGAAGCAUUGCAGUACAUUGCCUUGAAGGAGACAGUGGGCUGACAAUGCCCUGGAGCUGUGUAUCAGAGGUGAGCUCACCCAACUGCAGAAUUUGUACCAGCCACAGACAGCACAAGAACACAUUGGUGCCAUCAGUCUUCCCAGAACCGUUGGAGCAGCACAGAGUGCAGUAAUGGGCUUCACUGGAGCCACAGCCACAUCACACCCCAGACUUGCAAGGUGCUGUGUCAAUAUGCCAACUCCCUGAGAGCUGUCCUGCUGAUGAAGAGAGGACAAGAUUCCCAGACAGAGUAAGUUGGUCUGUCCCAGUUAAACAUACAGAGCUGGGCCAGUUUAUUCAGGCUGAAGAUCUGGCCCAGAAUUAAAUAAGGACAGUUAUCGGGCUAAUUAAAGAGGAAGGGAAUGGACUACAGAUAACUUCUGCAGAUAAUCACCUUCAUCGAUGCUUCAUGCCAGAAUGAUUAGAAACCCAUGCAAUAUCAUGUUAGUAUGUGAAAAGGACAAGGAUCGUCACAGACAUAAUCAUCCAUGUAGUAUUCUCUCUUGUUAAAAAACAAACAAACAAACAACAACAAACAGAUCUUCUUUCCAGCAUGAAAAGUAGGGAAGAAGAUUCUGCUGGAUCAUAACUCCAGUCAUGAUUUUAGAGUUGACUUUAGCCCUGGCCCACAUGUGGUAUAUACAAAACUAUUCAAUACUAGAUCACAAAGAGCAGAACUACAGGGAGGCUGAAAUACUUCAGUUGGUGACUGAUUUAAAGCAUCUUUAUUAAAGGCUGGUUAUUCACCCAGCGUUGAUGCCUGGCCCACCUGGGUAAUUCCUCACACAAGAGCUACAGUCAAACUUACCAUCAUGACAACCCUCAGUGUAUCAAAGCUAGUCCAAAGUCUGUGCACACAGUGUUAGCACCAAACUCCAGUUCUGGAGGGACACUACAGAAGAUAAAAGAACAUUCACACAAGCGGAAGGUUUUUGCAGUUGUGUCACUGAUCAGAAAGUUUAUACAAAUCCAAGGAAUUUUUCAGGAAAAAAGUGAGAGAGCAGGUUGGAGGUAACCCCUCACUGAUGUCAUUAAAAGCUUUCCAUGUUGUGAAACAGAUGCAGACAGAGUUCCAGUUUCCCAUGUCAUUGAUCAUCUCCGAACAUACUGUGUGGGUAUCCUAACAAAACACUGGAUGCUGUUUUUCCCUUCACAGCAAUGGAGAACCAUGGCACACACUGAGAUCCUCAGCUGCUUGAUCAAUGACACAAGGAAUGAAUAAGCAUGAAUAAAGGCAUAAAAACUGGGUGUUAUUUGUACAAAUGAGCAGCAGAGCCCUCACCCAGCACCAUGGACACCGGAGCUCUGGUAAAAUGCAGCUCAUACACUGCCACAUUUUUUUAUUGCAUCUCUGCCACUGCAGGUCCUGCACCCAGAGCCUUUGGGAAGUAUUCCUUCACUGUGAACAGAAGUGGUCCCAGGGCUGCAAGCAGCAGAACCUGCACACCAGAGCCAAGUUCCUCAAAUAGGACUGCUUUCAAACUCUG